AAACUUCAAAAACCCCCCUGUGGUUUCGUAGUUUCUCACUUUGCCCCCCUAUGGUUUAAAGUGUAUCAAUUUGCCCCCCCUGUGAUUUCGUUUUUAUCUUUUCGGUAGUUUUUUCGUUAAUAUUUUAUUAAAUUAUAUACAAAAAACUUUAGAUACCCAUCUAGAUUUAUCAAAUAUUCACUUUAGUACUCUUUAAUUUUAAUUUUAUCACUGAUUUAAGAAAAAAAAUUAAUGAAAUUGAUAAGAAAAAGAGAAAAAAGAAACCACAGGGGGACAAAUUGAUACAUUUUAAACCACAGGGGGGCAAAGUGAAAAACUACGAAACCACAUGGAGGAUUUUUGAAGUUUUCCCAUAUUGAAAUAUUGUUAUAUCUAAAAUAUUAGUUUGGCAAUAAAAUAUAAAAGUAUGAAAGUAAUUAUUUUUAUUUCAAUUUUUUUUU
rnacentral:lncRNA from 1 species